rnacentral:tRNA from 1 species
GGCUCUGUGGCCCAAUGGAUAAGGCGUCUGACUUCGAAUCAGAAGAUUGCAGGUUCGAAUCCUGCCAGGGUCG